AGUGAACGCUGGCGGUAGGCCUAACACAUGCAAGUCGAACGGCAGCACAGGAGAGCUUGCUCUCUGGGUGGCGAGUGGCGGACGGGUGAGGAAUACAUCGGAAUCUACUCUGUCGCGGGGGAUAACGUAGGGAAACUUACGCUAAUACCGCAUACGACCUACGGGUGAAAGCAGGGGACCUCCGGGCCUUGCGCGAUUGGAUGAGCCGAUGUCGGAUUAGCUAGUUGGCGGGGUAAAGACCCACCAAGGCGACGAUCCGUAGCUGGUCUGAGAGGAUGAUCAGCCACACUGGAACUGAGACACGGUCCAGACUCCUACGGGAGGCAGCAGUGGGGAAUAUUGGACAAUGGGCGCAAGCCUGAUCCAGCCAUACCGCGUGGGUGAAGAAGGCCUUCGGGUUGUAAAGCCCUUUUGUUGGGAAAGAAAUCCAGCUGGCUAAUACCCGGUUGGGAUGACGGUACCCAAAGAAUAAGCACCGGCUAACUUCGUGCCAGCAGCCGCAGUAA
rnacentral:rRNA from 1 species